rnacentral:rRNA from 1 species
AGCGAACGCUGGCGGCAGGCCUAACACAUGCAAGUCGAACGGACCCUUCGGGGUUAGUGGCGGACGGGUGAGUAACACGUGGGAACGUGCCUUUAGGUUCGGAAUAGCUCCUGGAUACGGGUGGUAAUGCCGAAUGUGCCCUUCGGGGGAAAGAUUUAUCGCCUUUAGAGCGGCCCGCGUCUGAUUAGCUAGUUGGUGAGGUGAUGGCUCACCAAGGCGACGAUCAGUAGCUGGUCUGAGAGGAUGACCAGCCACAUUGGGACUGAGACACGGCCCAAACUCCUACGGGAGGCAGCAGUGGGGAAUCUUGCGCAAUGGGCGAAAGCCUGACGCAGCCAUGCCGCGUGGAUGAUGAAGGUCUUAGGAUUGUAAAAUCCUUUCACCGGUGACGAUAAUGACUGUAGCCGGAGAAGAAGCCCCGGCUAACCUCGUGCCAGCCGCCGCGGUAA